rnacentral:rRNA from 1 species
AACGAACGCUGGCGGCGCGCCUAAUACAUGCAAGUCGAGCGAGAAGACGUAGCAAUACGUUUGUAAAGCGGCGAACGGGUGAGGAAUACAUGGGUAACCUACCCUCGAGUGGGGAAUAACUAGCCGAAAGGUUAGCUAAUACCGCGUACGCUCCUUGGACUUCGGUUCAGGGAGGAAAGCGAUACCGUGGGUAUCGCGCUCUUGGAUGGGCUCAUGUCCUAUCAGCUUGUUGGGAGGUAACGGCUCACCAAGGCUUCGACGGGUAGCUGGUCUGAGAGGACGAUCAGCCACACUGGCACUGCGACACGGGCCAGACUCCUACGGGAGGCAGCAGUAAGGAAUAUUGCGCAAUGGGCGAAAGCCUGACGCAGCGACGCCGCGUGGGGGAUGAAGGUCUUCGGAUUG